rnacentral:rRNA from 1 species
GAUGAAUGCUGGCGGCGUGCCUAACACAUGCAAGUCGAGCGGUAAGGCCCUUCGGGGUACACGAGCGGCGGACGGCUGAGUAACGCGUGGGAAUUUGCCCCAAACGUGAGGAAUAACUGCCCGAAAGGGUAGCUAAUGCCGCAUAUGGUCUUCGGAUUAAAGGAUUUAUCCGCUUUGGGAGGAGCCCGCGUUGGAUUAGGUUGUUGGUGAGGUAAUGGCUCACCAAGCCGACGAUCCAUAACUGGUCUGAGAGGAUGAUCAGUCAGACUGGAACUGAGACACGGUCCAGACUCCUACGGGAGGCAGCAGUGAGGAAUCUUCCACAAUGGGCGAAAGCCUGACGGAGCAACGCCGCGUGAAGGAUGAAGGUCUUCGGAUUGUAAACUUCUUUUAUGAGUGAAGAAUAUGACGGUAACUCAUGAAUAAGCACCGGCUAACUACGUG